ACAUGAUGGUACGCAAAUAUGUAAGUAGUUAUUAUAUGUAAAUUCGAAAAGUGAAUGAAGUUUAAACGAAAAUUGAUAAAACUAUGUCUAAACCUACUGGUGGAAUUGCAUUAGUACUGAUAAGUUAAAUACACAUUAUCAGUCACGCAUUUUUGUUUUAACAACGUGUAAUUGAUUUUGUCAAAAGAUGAAUAUUCGACGACCUGUUCACGAUUUGGACCUUCAAAUUACUUGAUAAUUGAACAAAACAGUAUUCAGGAGGGUUUUAAUAAUCUACCAAAGAGGAAUUACAUCAAGACUAAAGUCUUAUUGUUAGUAUCCAAGCCAAUAGGUGUUUUUGUAUGAUCAAGCUCGAAAGGGUUUCUCGCUUAUUUCCGAUAGUUUGUUGGUUGCGUUUAGAACCGUGUGCUAGUUUUGGUUAACAUCUAUUAUACAAAAAUAUGUUUUCAAAUUUGUAUGUAUUUUUUUUUAAUAACUGUCUGAUUGUUUAUGAUUUAAUUCCAUCGUUGUGCAAACUAUAGUUUUAUAUAAAGCGCACAACUUCUAUUUUUCACUUACUUUUACGAGUUUCAUUGACAACGAGGGACUGCAUUAAGAAUCAAUAUGCUGUAUCAAAACUAAUAAAUUUGUUAGUUUGUUAGCUGGCUUUUAAAACGAGUUUCACCUUAAUCGAACGUUUACAAGGGAGGAUCAUAUGCAGUUAGAUAUUCUGAAAUAACCACCUCAAUGAGUCUCAUAUAGUAACUUUAGUUGAAAUUAAACAUGCACAAUACAUUUUAUGUAAUCCAUGUUAUAUUACGAGUCACGAAUUCUUAAAAUAAACUUGCUGUCACCUCAUUGACUGUGAGAUUACUUCCGAUCUGUAAUGUCACCUUUGAAUUCAUUUAUCAACACAUGGCACCAAUUGUUUUACGCUUUUUUUCCCUCGAAUUCUAAUGUUUUUAAGCAAUAUUUUAAGUUUAUAUUUAUGUUAUAAGAAAGUGACAACCUUUGAAAAAUGAAGUCAGUACAAUGUAAUUAUGUAUAUUCUUCUAAUAAAUGGUCGUAUAGGGAUAAUAUAUAUAUUGAACAUUUACCUAACUGCUUAUGUAUACUUAUACACGCCUUAUUCUGUAUAGAUAACUUCUGUAUAGCAUUUAUUAUCAAUAAGCAUAUAUUAGUUAUAAGUGUUUCAAUUAAUCAUCAUAUCAAUUAUUAAAAUAUUUCCCUUGCUUUUCGUUUAUUAUGUUAUUUCGCUGUUUGUACGUAUAUUUUGCUGUACGUAAUUCAUAUCAUGCUUAUAUUUCAGUUUGUUAUAAAAUAACAGUAUUCCAAUUGUUUAUGUUAAUAGAGAAAGAAAGCCAUUCUGUAUUUUAUUAUCUUUGUUUUAUAAUGCAAAGUUAAUAUUCACAAUUAGAAAAAAAGAAAGAGAUUUUUUCUCAUUAUUUUGAAUUAAUCUCAAUAAUAUUUGAAAAAAAAAAACAGCACGUUUUUCUGUCUUAGUUUUAGGAAUUCAAAGAAUUUUCCUGUUCAAUUACUAUUGUCUAUUUGACGUAUAGAAAUCUACAUUCAAUUGAAAUUCCAAUUAUUCAAUAUACAUAAAAGUGUUUUUCACUUUGCUUGAUGCAUGUAGCACGGAAAAACGUAUCAAUCAAUUUAAAUAUUUCUUUUACAAAACACAACAUGAAUGGUACUACGUUUGUAUUGCUGGAAAUUGCUUCAUGCUCAAGGUUAACAGUACAGAGUAACAGUUCUUUCUAACCUUAACUUCAAGGGAUCCCAAACAACAUCUUGACCGAAUUCCUAGCUAGAUGUUAACAACUCUCUACGUUAUCUGUGAACAAAAUCAUUUGGUUAUAUAUAUGUGUACACAGAGUAUACAAGUGUUCUGUACUAUUUAGUUUGGUACCAAGGACUAAUGAUUCAAAGCCACAUCUGCAACGGCAUAAAACUUUUGAGAGCAAACAAUCCUUAUUGAUCGAUAUAGACCAGUUAAGGCCACAGAAAGUCGACUUGAAAGUUCUGGGAGUAACCGUUCCGGAGCUAAAUUAAAUUGUUAGAUCAGUUGUAUGUGAAGGUUAUUAAAACAACAAUACACAAAGAGAAAAUAAAAACAGCGAAUGCGUCGACAAGACCAGAUCUUCAAGUAAAUUAAGUGAGAUCUUCAAGUACAUAAAGUGAUUGAUAUCGUCAAAUGAAUAUUUUUGAGACUAUUGUCCUAAAUAUGUGGACAAUUUUCAUAAAAAUAUCUUUCUAAUUAAAUUGGACGAAGCCAUAACAAAAUCCUCGGACUGUUAAUAGAUUGCUACCAGUGUUGCUUAUAAUUUCAUUGUUGGAGGUGUUUGCCAUGUGAGCGAUUUAGUCCACCAUGAGACACUCGUUAAAGUUAAGAUGUCCAUAUCUUCCAGCUAAAAUUGGUGGUAAAGUUAAACGUGGCAUAGUUUGGUUAUGAUAGAAUACACAUGCAUUAUAUUAUUAUUUAUAUUUUCAUACUCUCAUAAUCUGUAUAAAUGUUAAUACUUACUAAUGUUGAAUGUAGAACGACGAAGAUAAAUGUCCAUUUGCUAUUGAGAACAGUGGUCUUUAUUCGGUUAUGAAUUUAGUUAUGUAACUUGUACAUGUUAUAGUGGUUGUUGCACAGACCGUCUAUUUGUUUUAAUCUUAAUUAUUUGUAUGAUUGUUGGCAGGGGCGUGUGCUAGGGAUAGCUAUACAUAGAUGUUUUGACAAUAUUUAUACAAUCUUGAAUUUGUAAAUGCAUGAAUUUACAUGACAAAUAAUCUGUGGUAGGUUACCCACGCAAGACCCAUUAAUACAAUUACAUCGUCAGUUGAUCAUAUUCACAUUUUUUAAAGUCUUUCGAAAAUAAAUUUUGAACAUAAUGAUUUGAAGAGAGAUUAUUGUCUAGUUUUCGAACGACCAGUUUAUAAUUUUGUAAAGGAGAUAAAACACAGAAACAGUUAUAAAAUAUUUAUCUUUGUAUGUGCAAAGUCAGGAGAUACUUAUGAAACUUUGUCACUGGAUACAAAUCUCUUAUCUAUAUACAUAAAAAAAACCUAAGUUAUCGUACACAAACUCUACCUUUCCAAUAACUUAUUUUAGAUUUUACGCUACUGAAGUUCAAAAUAACCUCUUUUUUAAUUUAUAAUCAUUCAUAAUUGUACUGAAUGCAUGGUAAAAUAUGUAAUAUUUUGACAGGUCCUGUAAUGAAUAUUUGACUAAGUGUAGUAGAAAAAAACCAACAAAAAUUUGAAACUAUUUUAUAAGAAGUGUAAUAGAGUUGUAUCUUCUUGGUAUGUAUCUUUUGAUCAUAUCAUGCAUAUAUCUCCUUACAUUUUUCCGUUCUUAUACAUUCUUACCUCCCAAAUAUUUGGUUAUUAGAACGUCUGAUGAAGGUAAAUAUAGAAAGGUGCUUCGAACACAUGAAAUUUAUAAAGUGUUUUUGCAAGUUUUGUUAAAGAUCUUGUCAAAUCCAAUAGUUGUUAUUGUUUUUAGUUAUUUGUUGAGAAAAUCACGUCCAAAAAUUUCAUUUCAAUUAUCAGUUGCAGGUCUUAUGUGUUCUCCAUUUAUCGGGAAGUGUUUUUGAAAAAUAAAUACUUAUGUAAUAAGAGUGUUUAAAUACAUAACAAGUUCAUUAGUGUUCGGAUUUGGAGGAUAACAUCAAUGCUAAUUUCUUUUAGUAAACCAUUGGCUCUAAAGCUUAACAAAACAUUUAAAUGGGUUUUGAUGCGUUGCGAUAAAAGUCGGUUGAUAAAUUGAAAGAUAUCAACAUGAUUUGUCGAAAAAAUACAUGCAAAUAUUCGCGCUCUUCAUUUUGCUCAAUGGAAGAUAAUUCUUACUAAGCUAGCACACAUACUAAUAUGUAUUCAGAUUUGCCUAUAUAAUGAACUUUAUCACUAGGGAAUGAACUAUGUAGCGUGUAUAGGAUCACAUGCUAAUGUCGUCGUGAAAGCUUUCAAUCACGUGUUACAGUUUUCAUUGCCGUGACACUCAAUAAUAAAAUGAGAUUGAACAUACAAGAAUAGAUGUUAAUGUAAUCAAAGCAGUUAGUAUUUAGUAAACACAAGUUAGAUUAACUUAACCGGACUCUUAUUGACUUUGUCGCUUUUUUCAGAUAUUUCUUUGAUUUAUUUUUAAAACAUAUAUAAAACAGAAUAUGUGGUAAGGUUGCCAAUACCGCAUAGUCAGCUUUAAAAGGCCCCCAAAUGACAAAUGUAAAACAAUUCAAACGAGGAAACUUACGGCCUAAUUAAUGUACAAAAUAAUGAACGAAAAACAAAUAUGUAACACAGCAACAAACGACAACCAUUGAAUUACAGGCUCCUGACUUGGGACAGGCACAUACAGAAUGUGACGUGGUUAAACUAGUUUGUUGGCGCCAAUCCCCCCCUAACCUGGGACAAUGGUGCAACGGCACAACACAACAACAAACUUUACAAAACAAUAAACGAUAAACAAAUUUGAGAAGCAGCAACAAACAACAACCACUGAAUUACAGGCUCCUGACUUGGGUCAGGCACAUGUAAAAUAUGGAGGGGUUAAACUUGUGUGUAGGCGCCAACCCUCUCCCUAAAACGGGACAGAGGUGUAACAGUCCAACAUAAGAACAAACUAUCAAAAUCAGUUGAAAAAGGCUUAACUCAUCAGAUGGAUACAAAUAGAAAUACAUCUAACAAAAACACAGAGUGGACGUGGACGGGUACUUGUACAUUCAAAAAACAAAAAGACACUAAGUACAUAUCUGAGAGUACUCGCAGUUACUGACAGCUAGUUCAAAGCCAAUAACAACUAAUAAAAAAAAUCAUGCAUCUAAGACUAAAUUAUCAAUCAGUACAGAUUCAACAUCCAAGGGAUUUAAUGUAAAGACGUCAUAAACAGUCAGAGAAAAAAACAUGACCUUGCGCAAUUCCAAGAUACUGGUAUCGACAGAAUGAAGAGCCAUGAAUGUGCAUAUGUAUACAUGUAUAACAAUAAUAUUUAGUUUGAUUUUAAUUUACUGAUAACAAAAUCAAUAUUUAUACCAAUAAAAGCAAUAUUCAAAAAUCAGUGUUGAACUGGUAACCUUUUAGAAUAAGUUUAUUUAAAGGAUCGAUAAGUUUACCCGGAUCGUUUCUAAAUUUCCGGGCUCGUUAAACAACAUCUCUCAAUAAUUUGACAUAUAUGUUUUAUAGUUACAUAUUGAUAACCAAAGAUGACUCAAAGUACCAUUUGAAUUAAGAUGUAAAUACUUUUCAGUAGGUUACAAAUGUAAUACUCAAAUUAUAAUAACAAUGUCUUUUUUAUAUGCAUGUAUUACGAAGGAAAGAAAAAUGCUAUACAUUUUGUAACAUAACAAUAUCUUAUAUACAUAUAUUCCAAUGCAAAAUAUAAAUUGUAUUAUCUGUUGUUAUAUAUAGACUUACUUCAUUAUAAUUCGUUGGAUACCAAUUUCAGUGAUUUCGUGGAUGGAGGUAAACCACGAAUUUAAAUCUUUCACAAAAUCCACACAUUUUCUACAGGCUUGAAUACAGUCUUGCACAAAAUCAAAAAUCCACGAAAAUACAAUGUUCCUCAAUCCAUGAAAAUUAGUACCCACGAAAAUAUAUGAAUUCAUAGUACAGGUAAUUCAAGUUGAAAACCAUGUUGUACAACAGAAGUUUUUUUUUUUAUUAUGACUUGUUAAUGAUACACAUGCAUUGAAUAUUUAUUUGUGAGUUUGAUUAAAAUAAUAAGAUGCA